rnacentral:rRNA from 1 species
GAGCGAGGCCAGGUAGCAAUACCCGAGUCGAGCGGCAGACGGGUGAGUAACACGUGGGUGACCUACCUCGAGGUGGGGGAUAACCCGGGGAAACUCGGGCUAAUACCGCAUAACAUCGUGAGAUCAAAGCGGCCCGCAAGGGUCGCGCCGUGAGAGGGGCCCGCGUCUGAUUAGCUAGUUGGUGAGGUAACGGCUCACCAAGGCGACGAUCAGUAGCCGGCCUGAGAGGGCGAUCGGCCACACUGGAACUGAGACACGGUCCAGACUCCUACGGGAGGCAGCAGUGGGGAAUUUUGCGCAAUGGGGGAAACCCUGACGCAGCAACGCCGCGUGGAGGAUGAAGGUCCUUGGAUUGUAAACUCCUGUCAGCAGGGAAGAACUCCUUACGGUGAAUAACCGUAAGGAUUGACGGUACCUGCAGAGGAAGCCCCGGCUAACUCUGUGCCAGCAGCCGCGGUAAUACAGAGGGGGCAAGCGUUAUUCGGAAUUAUUGGGCGUAAAGGGCGCGUAGGCGGCUUCGCAAGUGGUGGGUGAAAUCCCUCGGCUUAACCGAGGAACUGCCCUCCAAACUGCGUUGCUGGAGUCCGGGAGAGGUGAGUGGAAUUCCCAGUGUAGCGGUGAAAUGCGUAGAUAUUGUGAGGAACACCAGUGGCGAAAGCGGCUCAUUGGACCGGAACUGACCUGAGGCGCGAAAGCGUGGGGAGCAACGGGAUUAAAUACCCCGGUAGUCCCUCCAUAGCGAUAACUGCUUGGUGUACCGUGUAUCGACCCCUGCUGUGCUAAUUCCCACGUUACCCCUCUUCCGGCGAGUACGGUCUACAUGCUCAACUCUAUGAAUUGACGGGG